rnacentral:snRNA from 1 species
AAGAAGCUUCGAAUACCCUUUAC